UUUCUCAUCUGUACAACCUUUGAAUCCCCAUUCUCCCAAACUCUCUCUCAAACCUAGCCGCCGCUUUCUUCCACCAACCUAAAAAAAGCCUGAAUCAAUGGCUUCCAAAGCCAUUAAAUGUCAGUAUUUGCCUACUACGACUUCUACCUGCUUGAUUAUCAUGAAUUAAAGACCAGACCGUGAUAAAGAUUAGUCCAGACCUUGGUCUAUUUCAGUGCUAUGCUGUCUCUGGUCAUCUUUGACCUUGCUCCGGCCAGCCAUAGCUAUUCAAGCCUGAGCUUAACUUCUCCUGCUAAGAUUAAUGACUUUCCAAGCCUUCCUCACUAUCUAGGGUUUUUUUAAAACCCUAAUCUUUGAGUUUAUUCAGAUUCUUUUAGAUCCGUUGUAUAUCUGUGUUUUCUCUAAGUUCCUAAAUGUUUUCUCCUAGUUUCUUUCAAAACUCUACUUUCAGAACCUUCGUCUUUUCUGAAUUUAGGGUUUUUUGUUACUUUAUUUUGAAGCUCUUCUAAUUUUUAAACAUGUCUAUUGUGUUUCUUACGUUAUUCUUCUACUGUAUUUCUUAUGUUUUUCUUCUAUUUUGUUUCUUAUACAGUUCUUCUACUGUGUCGCUCUUCUAUUGUGCUUCUUUAUGUUGUUCUUCAACUUGAAUAUGCAUGUUAAAAGUCUUAGUUCCCUUUUGAGAUUUUCUAAACUUAUUUCGUUAGUAUUUCUGUCUGAUCUACUUCUUUUCAUCUCUAUACUCGAUUGACAGGGAAAGGCCUAAAUUUGGGGAUUCGUUUGAUUUGUGAGACUAUUUGCUAUGUGAUUUGCUUGUUCUUCAGGUUUGAACUUCUUUGGUUUCAAAACCCUAAUUUCUUCGGACCUAUUCGAGUUUCUAAAGUUGUUUCAUCUACUGCUCGAUUGAGUUUCUGAAUCUUUUGUUUCUUUAUAUGACUCUAACUUCCAGCUAAACUUUAUGAGGUCUUUUACUUAACCCUUUGGCAUGCUAUUCGAUACUUUUUCUUCUCUGUUACUGAGUAACUAAAAUCGACCUAUGUGACUACAUGUGUUUGCUAAUAUACAAUGUUUCUCUUUGUUCUAAAUUUAGCCUUGCCUGCUUAAUACUUAUACACUCUUUUAUAGCCAAGUUUCCCUAAAAAUGACCUGUGGUUUGGGAUUGAUUUAGACCUCAUUGUGUAAGUCUGAUUCAUUAUUUUCUUGUUUUACUGAUUUCCCUAAUUCUUGGGUUAAUUUGAGAACUUUUCCUUAGACUUUCGAUUCUCCUACUUCUGACUUGGUUUAUUUAUAAUUUCAAAUCCUUGACUCCUUGAUUUACUAUUUGCCGGUUGAUUUAUUCUAUUUUUUACCUUAUUUGGUUAACUGUAUGUUUCAAAGAUUUUUCGUUAAUUCUUCCCAUAGUUAAACCCCUGUGUAUUUACCCCUAACUUCUUACUUUGCACAGGAUGCUUACUUGAUUUCUUUCCAUAAAAGUUUUCUGCCCAUUACCGUUUAACUUUAAACUCCUUAAUUAAAGGAAGUUUUUCUACUGAUUGAUUUUUAAUUGAUACACAGUUCCAUAAUUAUUUUCUUGCCUUAUUUUCUACUUGUUUUCAUAGUAUAAAUACUUUGAUUUUGCAUGGACACAACACACAUAAAACACUCUUGGUUUCUAAACUCUCACUCAUGCUCAAAAAUCUAUUCUCUUUGUUACUUGUAAUGUGGCCUGCCUUCAAGUCAUGCUAUUUGCUUUACUGUAUCUUACUCUUUAAAACCAGUAUGUUCUGAUUUAGCUUUCUAGCAUCACAACAAUGUGUUUAUUUACUUUUAUCCUCUUGUUUAUCUAUUACUGGUGUUCAGCUCAAUACUUGUUUUAGCCUGCUAUCAUUUCUCUUCUGCCUAUCCAUGAAUUUACCAUAAACCCUAAACCCCUAGCCCCAAUGUGUGUGAUGAUAUGGUUUGCUGAAGGCAUGACAGUAUUGGAUAUUACUGUCCAUGACUCAAGCUUCAUCCCUGGGAUCAUAACCUCUGUUAUUCUUUGCUACUAUAUGUUCUGGUAGGCUUAUAAUCAUGCUAGCAUCUCCAUUGUUGUACAUGCUCAACGCUUACCCUUUCCAAACAUAGGCUUUUUGCAACUUCCCUACCCCCUGAGCCCCUUUGCAUGAAGUUAGUAACUUGUUUGUGGUUGUUUCCCUCUCUUUUAUCCUCUCAGAACUUUGUUUCUUAGCCUGCACUCUCUCUUAGAAUUUAUGUUCUGCCCCCCUCUCGUGAGCCUUGUCUUGUGACCUAUUGAGCUCCCUCUAAACUUGGACACUUGAGGGCUGGCCCUUCCACACUGCACUUGUUCCUAUUCUGGUGAUACAAUUUGGGUGUGAGCUUCGCCCGGAGUCCCAUUGAGGCUUUUAGGGAACUUUGACACACUCAAAAUUGGACAAAAGGUUUUGGAUUAGUGAUCUUGGAGUUGGUCUAUCUCAUGAUUCAGAUAGGAAGUCAAAAUCAGGCCUUCCUUUGGUUGUAUUUUUUUAUACUUUCUUUUAUGUAUUAUUAUUUCUUGGCUUGUAAUAAGUUUUAAUGAAUAUUUGGGGGUGGCUAGCGAUAGGAGUGGGUAACUAUGCAUGCAAAAGGGUAGAAAAAAUUUCUAUAGGUCUAUUACAAUUCUGCAUAUUCAAAUACAUAUAGAAAUCAUGCCUAUAGGUCUAUUAAAAUUCUGCAUAAUCAAAUACAUAUUGAAAUCAUGACUAUAGGUCUAUUACAACUCUGCAUAUUUAAAUACAUAUAGAAAUCAUGCCCAUAGGUCUAUUACAAUUCUUCAUAU
rnacentral:lncRNA from 1 species